rnacentral:tRNA from 1 species
AUUUUAAUUACUCUCUGGUAGAGUUCUGGAUUUAGAAUCAAGAAGACUUGUGUUCGAAUCCUACUUCAAAUG